GACGUAGGAGGCGAGCGUUGUCCGGAUUCAUUGGGCGUAAAGAGCGCGCAGGCGGCUUGGUAAGUCGGAUGUGAAAUCCCGAGGCUCAACCUCGGGUCUGCAUCCGAUACUGCCCGGCUAGAGGUAGGUAGGGGAGAUCGGAAUUCCUGGUGUAGCGGUGAAAUGCGCAGAUAUCAGGAGGAACACCGGUGGCGAAGGCGGAUCUCUGGGCCUUACCUGACGCUGGAGGCGCGAAAGCCUAGGGGAGCGAACAGG
rnacentral:rRNA from 1 species